CAAGUUUUUCGGCCUUUUGGCUAAGAUCAAGUGUAGUAUCUGUUUUUCCUUGUUCUAGAUCAGGGGUCCUCAAAUUUUUUCAGCAGAGGGCUGGUUCACCUUCA
ensembl:snRNA U2 U2 spliceosomal RNA